AUUGAACGCUGGCGGCAGGCCUAACACAUGCAAGUCGAGCGGAUGAAGGGAGCUUGCUCCUGGAUUCAGCGGCGGACGGGUGAGUAAUGCCUAGGAAUCUGCCUGGUAGUUGGGGAUAACGUCCGGAAACGGGCGCUAAUACCGCAUACGUCCUGAGGGUGAAAGUGGGGGAUCUUCGGACCUCACGCUAUCAGAUGAGCCUAGGUCGGAUUAGCUAGUUGGUGGGGUAAAGGCCUACCAAGGCGACGAUCCGUAACUGGUCUGAGAGGAUGAUCAGUCACACUGGAACUGAGACACGGUCCAGACUCCUACGGGAGGCAGCAGUGGGGAAUAUUGGACAAUGGGCGAAAGCCUGAUCCAGCCAUGCCGCGUGUGUGAAGAAGGUCUUCGGAUUGUAAAGCACUUUAAGUUGGGAGGAAGGGCAGUAAGUUAAUACCUUGCUGUUUUGACGUUACCAACAGAAUAAGCACCGGCUAACUUCGU
rnacentral:rRNA from 1 species